rnacentral:rRNA from 1 species
GUGCACGCUGGCGGUAGGCCUAACCCAUGCCAGUCGAACGGCAGCACCGUUAGAGCUUGCUCUUACGGGUGGCGAGUGGCGGACGGGUGAGGAAUACAUCGGAAUCUACUUUUUCGUGGGGGAUAACGUAGGGAAACUUACGCUAAUACCGCAUACGACCUACGGGUGAAAGCAGGGGAUCUUCGGACCUUGCGCGAUUGAAUGAGCCGAUGUCGGAUUAGCUAGUUGGCGGGGUAAAGGCCCACCAAGGCGACGAUCCGUAGCUGGUCUGAGAGGAUGAUCAGCCACACUGGAACUGAGACACGGUCCAGACUCCUACGGGAGGCAGCAGUGGGGAAUAUUGGACAAUGGGCGCAAGCCUGAUCCAGCCAUACCGCGUGGGUGAAGAAGGCCUUCGGGUUGUAAAGCCCUUUUGUUGGGAAAGAAAAGCAGCAGGUUAAUACCCCGCUGUUCUGACGGUACCCAAAGAAUAAGCACCGGCUAACUUCGUG